UUAAGAAUCUUGCGCAAUGGGCGAAAGCCUGACGCAGCGACGCCGCGUGAGGGAUGAAGGCCUUCGGGUUGUAAACCUCAGUAAGAUGGGAAGAAUAAGAGUAUUCGAAAGGGUGCUUGAUGACGGUACCAUCCUGAAGCCCCGGCUAAUUACGUGCCAGCAGCCGCGGUAAUACGUAUGGGGCUAGCGUUGUUCGGAAUUAUUGGGCGUAAAGGGCACGCAGGUGGAUAAAUAAGUUGGUUGUAUAAUCUCUCGGCUCAACCGGGAGUCUGCUUCCAAAACUAUUUAUCUUGAGUACCAGAGGGGAGAGCGGAAUUCUCGGUGUAGCGGUGGAAUGCGCAGAUAUCGAGAAGAACAUCAGUGGCGAAGGCGGCUCUCUGGCUGGUUACUGACACUCAUGUGCGAAAGCGUGGGUAGCGAACAGG
rnacentral:rRNA from 1 species